GCCCGAGACUGCUGACUGCCUUCCAGGCUCCGCGGAGCCUGUCCCAAGUUUCUGCCUCCUCUUCCCGGCCGCCGCCCCUCCCCACCCGAGCGCCGAGCGCUGAGCGCUGGUCUCGGGCUGGUUACUCACUGCGCGGCGGGCACAUGCUGAGCGGCGCUGCGGGGGCACCGAACCGAGCGGCCAGCUGGAAGCAGACGGGUGCACGCGGCAGGAACCACAAACCCUAGACUCUAUAGAAGGAAACCUUCAUCAGAUUUCUUGAUGAACAAAGUCUAUUGAACCAGGCAAGCUUCCUGCUGAAGAGAGAGGACAGUCAUAAUGCUGAGAGCCAAGAAGAACCAGUGAAUGAUAUGCUGAAAAGCUCAGAAGGUACCAGAGGAGAUUCAUAUUCAAGUCCCAUCUCGUGUUCUCCAAACUUACUCUCUAUGACGCCUUUCGAGAUCAAACCGAGUCUCCGUGAAAUCAUCUUACACCAGAGGGACAGACCAUUGCUACUUUAGGAAGAUGGCGAUGCAGCGGUAUCCCCUGCUCUUUACCACGGCAGCCAACCUCCUUUCCACAUCAGCUGUCCAAGACCCAGUCCAGUUAGUUCAAACCCAUCUUCUCACCAAAUUCCUAGGCUCCUACAGAUUCACGGACACCUCAACAGCGGUGUCUGGUCUGUGCUUUUGUCUGAGACUCUAACUGAACUCUAGGAUGGCCUGUUGGAAAAAAGCAUCCCUAUAUGGUUUGAUUGAAUCUUAUUUGGGAGAAUUUGUUUUUGUUUUUCAACCACACACAAGUACAGCUUGUUGAUGCUUUCCAAUGGGCAAUGGAAAAGUCAAGAUUUGGGUCAGCUGGCAUGCAUGCCCAGUCCAAGCCAUGGCCAUCCCCACCAGGCUUCUGGCCCCUGAUGUGGUCUCCCUGCCACCACUGCUCACUCCACACAGCACCGGAAAUCACUGAUGGCUUCUCGUCACACAUAGAAUAAAGCCCAAGCCCCUAACCCUGGCCUAUGAGGCCUCCAUGAUGUGGCCCUGCCUGGCUUUCCUAACUAAUUUUGUACCACCCUCCCCUUGCCCAUCACUUUCCAGCCCUCGUUUCCUUUUGGUUUUUUGAACAUAUUAAGCUUACUUCUACCUUCAGUCUUGUUCCUUUUUGCCUGGAAUGACCCCAACGCCCUAUCAUUACCUUUCCAGCUCCUUCUGGUCAUUUCCAUUUCUUAUUAAAAAUCACUUCUCCCGAAAAUCCUUCCCUGACCACCCAAUCUGAAUUAGUAGCUCAAGCACAUAACUUGGUUUUACUUUCAUCUUAUUACUUCCUGAUAUUUCCUUGUUUAUUCAAUCUGUUUUACUGUCUGGCUUUCCCCUACCAAACUGUAAGCUCCAAAGGCAGGAACGUUAUACGUAGAACACUGGCUGGCACUAACAGACACUCAGUGUUUGUUGAAUGAGAAAAUGAAUGAAUAAAUGCCUUUGCUUUCAUUUGGAUCAGUCAUUUUUGAAAAAUAUGUUGGUUUCUUUCCAUCUGAAUUGAUUCAGUCAUUUUGUAAAAACAAA